CACAAGCAUCUGAUCAAAAUAAGCAUAUAGGUUGCAAAAAUAGAACUCUUCAUUUUUCCUAGUGGUGGAAAUAUGGUGGAGUAUUGGGCAAUAUGACUUGAAGUAGGGUGAAAAUAGAUUGAACUGAGUUCUUAUUUGUAAAACCCAAGCUAGAUUUGGUUAAAAAAAGUUAAAGUUUAAGAGCAUGUUUGGUAUUGGGUUUGUAAAACGGAGUUUAAUGAAAAUCACGACAAAAAUCACGCUAGCGUAGAAGUUAGUAUUUGAAACUUCUGGAAAUCAUGGUAAAAAUAUAUUGGGAAACAUGCAAAUUUGGUUUUGUGUGUUGCAAACGGGAAAUCAAACACACGCUAAGUCUUUGUUUGGUCGUGUAUUUGUCGCCUCGACCGUGUUAGUAGCUUAAGAGGAUUUGUUUUGCCACCUAAAAAUGGUUAGCGACGUAAAUUUGUUACCCACCGGCCUUCUAUUCUUUUAUAAUUUUCUACAUAAUUUUUAUACAAUCAAUAUUAGUAGCUUUUGGUUCCCCUAAAAAAAUAUUGGUAGUUUUUGGAAGAAAAAAAAUUGUACAUUUGAUGCCAUCUACCACAUAACAAACAAGUAGUAAGUCUAGUCUAUUAUCACUCAUAAACUUAUUUUAAACAUGAAUUUGAUUUUUUUGAAAGUUUGGUAUGAUAUAUUAGCAUAUUUACAUAUUUAAUUAAUACGAUCUAUAUUUAAAUAGACUAAUCUGUCAAUAAAUGAAUAAAAUCAUGUUUUAUUUUAAUAUUUAACGUGGUAUUUUAAGGUGUAUUUGGUUGAAGAUUUUUAUAGAGGAGAUAAUAUUUUAAAUGAAGUUGUUUGAUUCGAUUCUUUAGGAGGAGGGGAGGGGAAAUAAAGUAAUUAGAGUUUGUUUGGUUCAAUCAACUAUAUCUUAUCAUUUGUAAACUAUAAACAAACUUAUAGAUUAUUCCUUAUAAGUAUACCAGCUAUAAACUAACUUAUAAUUCUUCAGAUAUUUUUUAUCUAAUUAACAAAUGCUAAAUUAGAGAGAUUAAUACGUGUAGGACACACCAUUUUAUAUUCUAUGUUUCUUACUUUUUUUUCAAAUUAUUUGGCGGAAAUAUGUCACUUCUUUUCUCUAUCUCUAUCUCUCAUCUCCAACCCUUUGUUUCUUAUUUCAUUUAAGCAAAUCAAAUCAUACAUUCUCUCAUAGAAAUAUCCAUUUGAGCACAAUCAUAUACUAUAUUAAUACUCCUAUAGUUGAAUUCAUAAGCUGCGGAAUGUUUUGGCAAAAAAGAGUAUAUAUAUCCAUUAAAUUAGCUACAAAUACUUGCCAUCUUCAAUUUGGUGCUAAUUUGACUUACUUCCAUAAUUUUUUUUCCCUAACAAGUAAUUUAGACUUGUAAUAAUAAUGAUUGGACAUUAUUUGUCAGUGGUACAAAUACUUGCCAUCUUCAAUUUUUACUGUCCCAUUUCACUGUACAGUAACCCUAAAUUUGCUUUCCAUGGCACGCGUCUGAUGCACAGUCAACAAGGCAAAUCAAACGGUCCCUAUCUAUUUCAGCUGUUAAAGGUCGACACGUGUCCUCCAAAUAAGUACAAAGAUUUCAAUCAAUCCGUCACCUGGUACUGUGCAAAGAUAGCCUGUCAUAAAUUGACACGUAACUGUGAGUCUGUGACAUAAAAUUAUUAGGAGAAUUCAUUUAUUUAUACGAAAAAUAUGUAAAUAACACUUUGGAAAAUGGUGUGUAAUGGUGAUGGAUUAUGUAAUGUACUCCAGGUGAACAGUAGUAUAUUGCUUGCGUAGUAAAUAUUGUCAUUUUUUAUUUAAAUAAAUAUAGACAUAAUUUAGUAAAACAACUAUGCCCUAGAGUCCUCAAGACCAUAUUAAUUUGAUAAUGACAUUACAAUAUUUUCCUCUUAAUUAAUGAAAUGAGCAGUGCUAGACGGUGCGAAUUGUUUUUCGCGUAAAAGGCACGACCGUGUAAUUGAUUAUUGAAUGCAUAAUCCAACCAACACGUGUGUGUUAAAGCAUUCUUGAUUAAAAAAUUAUAUUCAAAACCGUCAAAAAAAAUUUCACGCUUGUUGCAUCUUAUCUUUUGCUUGACAGCAUAUUCAAAGUAAAACCAAACUCCAAUUACAAUCCUUAAACCAUAAGAACAAUUCUUAUCUCUUGCUUGAUUACAUAAACAAAGUACAAAGUCAUAACUUUUGCCAAUGUAUAAACAGACUUGAGCACAUUAUAGAUAAAUUCAUGGGUUAAAUAUGUUUUUAGUCCUUAUAAAAUUACAAAUUUUCAAGUUUAGUCUCUAUAAAACAUUUAUUCACUCUUAGUCCCUACUUACAUCUUAUAGACACUAUUUUGGAGGACUAAAAUUAUAAUUUUUUUGUCAAAAGUUUUUAAAAUAGGGACUAUUACUUCAAUAUUAUAGAAGACUAAAUAAAAUUAUAUAGGAACUAAGUUGAAAACUCUUAAUUUUAUUAGGAUUAAAAAAUAUUUAACACUAAAUUUAUUGAUAUUUCUCAAUGCCAAAAUAUAGUUCAGUAUAGUUAAAGUAAUCAAAGAGCUGCACCAUAAAAUUAAAAAAAAUAGUCAAAGGCUUGUUUAGUGUGAAUCAUAGUUAUUUGACUAGUUCGUGUGAUUCCCGCGAAUUAAUUGUCGUACCAAACAGCAUUUUGCUAAUGAAAUUCUAGUUGUUAAUUAAGCUAUUUGACAAAAAAAAAAAUAUGACAAUAAUCAAGCAUUAUCGUACUAAAUAGAGUCGGUUAUAUAAAUCAAAUGAUACCACAAUGUUCUAUAAAAAAACUAGGUAUUUCUCAAACUCAUUAAUCUGUUUACCAUUCUUAAUAAAAAAAAAUUUGUUUUUUCUAGAUCUUAUUCUAGUGAUUUGAUUCCCCUCUACAUUUUCUAGAAACUAUUGACAAAAAAAAAAAAAGCGAUGCCCUAAUACAUAUAUUUUAUUAAAAAUUAUUACGACAUACCUGUUUAUUUCUUAAACAAAAACAAGUCCUACUUUUUCAAGAAACCCUUUGGAAAAUGAUGUGCAUUUGACUAAUGGUGAUAGUAUUACUAUGAUUUCUAUCAACAGUUAAACCUCCUUUAUAUUUCAAAAAACAAGAAGGCUUUGUUUAUUAAAAAAAAAAAAAAAAAAGACAUGCAGUUUAAAAUAAUAACAAAAAUCUACGUGAUAAUUUAUUUUUGGCUUAAUUACUCUUUUGGUCCCUUAACUUAUUUUUUGGUUUCGUUUUGGUCCCUUAAUUAUUAAAAGUUUCGUUUUGGUCUCAUAACUUACUUUUUGGUUUCGUUUUGGUCCCUUAACUCUUCCUCCGUCAACCACUUUGGUCCUUUAUGUUAGGAUGAAUGUAUUAGAGUUAAGGGACCAAAAUGAAACCAAAAAAUAAGUUAAGGGACCAAACGAAACCAAAAAAUAAGUUAAGAGGCCAAAACGAAACUUUUAAUAGUUAAGGGACCAAAAGAAAACCCAAAAAUAAGUUAUUGGACCGAAACGAAACUUUUAAUAGUUAAGGAACCAAAACGAAACCAAAAAAUAAGUUAAGGGACCAAAAGAGUAAUUAAGCCUUUAUUUUUUUAUUCAUUGUUUGAACUUAAUGUUUUUCUAUAAGAAUCCUUUGAUGUAAGAAUUGAUGUGAUUCUUAAGAUGGCUAUGAGAUUGAUAACUCUCAACGAACACAUGUAACUUGAGGCCUAUUUCAUUGGUUGGAAGAGACUUUGAGAGGGUUGGGUUAAACUCAACUAUGACAACACACAUAAAAACCCAAUUAAUAUUUCGGGAUGUGGCGACCUUCUCCGUGAUAACAGUGGAAAUUGUUUGAAUAGUUAUGCCUGUGAGAUAGACUCAUGCGACACGCUACAUGCAGAGAUAUGGAGAACUACUCAAAAGUUUUAGUUGACAUGGUAACAAGGAAAUGUAACAUCAAUGAGAAUGUUUAUACGUUGAUUUGGCGCAUUCGUGACCUAAAUAUUUUAAAAUCAUAUUUAGAGAUUAGUGUUAUUUAUUUUUUUUAAAAAUGGUUAAGUAAUAUACUUAUGGGAACUUAUUUAAUCUUUAUUCUUAAUUUUGUUCAUUGUUGACCGCUUUUAAUCGAUUUAUGAUUAACGUUGAAAUUCAGCUUUGUGAAUGUUUAGCUUAAAUAUUCACGACUUUAUAGUCAAGAGAUUGAUGCGUGCUCAUGCAUGAGAUUUGGGAUUAUCUUAAGACAAUAACUAAGAGAUUAGGAUUAGACACUAUAUAAAAUUUAUGACAAUGCAAUGAAUCCUUUAAGAUAAUUGAGAUCAACCAUAAACAAAGGUUCUCGUCCAAAUAAGCUAAUUCCUAACAAUUGGAAAACAAGAAUUACACGUAAAAUUGAAGUCAAAUAAUGCUCAACGCUAGUUGUAUCACCAAUCUUGAACUCUUAUGCUCUUCCAGUUUUUAACUUAAAUAGGGCAAAAUUUUCUCACAUGAAUCAAUAAACACUUAAGUCAAGUUGAAAUUUAUAUUGAUGAUCAAAGAUAAGGUAUAAACUUUAGUGAGAUAAUUUCAUUCCUUUUAAUAUUAUUCAUACUCCCUUCGUUCUAAAAUGAAUAUCGUUUUCAGUUUUCCAUGUAAUUUUAGUUAUUAUGUUUUUUCUAAUAUUAUAUUUAAUUAACAUAUUCCACUUUGGAUUUAUAAUAUUCGAUCACUUCAACUUACAAGAAAACAAAACACCAUCACUUUAUAGUAUUUCAAUUUGGUAAAAUUACUUACUUUUUUAUUAUUCGUUAUACGAAAUGGUAAUCAACAUCUCAAACAGUCAAAUUCACAUACAUAAUUGUAACGUUUCAGAUUUGAACUCGGAUAAAUGUGUCUAAUCUAUCAAUAUUUGUAUUUGUUAGUUGAGAUAACCCUUACAAACUUUUAUUUCUUUAUUUUAUUUAUAGUAUCUUCAUAUAAAUAUGUGUGAAACAAACAAAUGUAUGUAGGACAUAUAAGCUAUAGAGUGCUAUUUUACAAAUAUAGUGAGUAAAAAAAAUACAUAAACUAAUUUUUUUUUGCAAAUGUAUCAACAAUUGUUGCAAGUGAAUUUACACAAAAAAUUACAGAAAACAAUAGUUAACCACAAGUAACAAAUUAUUCUCUAAUUAGUAACUAAUCACAUCUCCAAACAGUUGUUAGCAUAAAAUAAGUAAAACUACUGACUUUUCUGAUGUGGUGUAUUUUAUAUAUAUUUUGAAACAAUUCUAAUAGAAGGAGUAAUUUUCUUUUUGAAAUGAAGAAAUUUCUUUUAAAACUUAUGAACGUGUAAAACGAGGAAAGCAAGUACUACUUGUCAAAAAAGGCACUUGCUAUACUAGUAUAUUUCAAAAUGAUAACUAAAACUAAAAAAAAAAAAAAAAAAAAGACAUCCAAACAUAGUUGGACUCAUUUUAGGCCACAAAAAUGCUACUACACAUAUUUAAAGAAAUGAAUUUUGAUUGGUCAUUGGUGGAUCUUAGUGUGAUAAAAUAAAUUCACCUUUAAUUUCCUUUUUCCUUGUUUGGAAUGUAGGACCCUACCUAUGAUCUAACACAACUUUCCUUCUUUUGCAUAGAAAAAUACAAGUGGUUGAAAUUGACCCUAGCUAUGUACAAUUAAAUUUUCUUGUUUGAGCUUUGGUAUUUUUGAUAACUAAUUAACCUUAGUCAUCUAUCAUUUAUGGGUUCUGAUCAAAUCCAACCUCAUUGAUAUUUCUUCAUAUAUCCAAGGUUUGAUUUUUGGUAUGUACAAGUUUGGCUAAAAGAAAAAUGACAAAGAGUAGGUUUGCAUCUCCCAAAAUAACUAAGAAAUAAAGUAUAGAAUGUGAGGUUGGUCUCAUUUACACAAAAAUGUGGCAUUGAAGAAAAUUAUGUGGUUACUUAACAUUGUCGACACCCAUAUUUGGUAUUUGUGGUUUCAAACAUUAGCCUAAUUGAGUUAUAUUAAGGUGAUUUUAUUUUGACAAAUUUGAUUGAACAUUUAUAUUUGAUAGUUUACUUAAUUUGUUGUGUUGAUUGUUUUGGUUUUCACUUUUCACUAUUAGUUUCAUGUUCUCUUUUAAAAGUUGCAUGUAAUGGAUUGGAGUACUCAUUUUACUGUGUUUUAUAUGUAUAUUUGACUCAACCUUUCAGAUAAAAACAAAAUCUUGCAUUAACUAAAUCCAUGUAAUUGUUUUGGUAAAAAAAAUUGGUGUGAUUGUUGAUUGGAACUAGAAACAUAAUUUUUUAAUAGGUAAAUGUUAGUUGUUAAUAUGUAAUUUUAAUAGUCAAAUUUUUGUUUUAAAAAACAGAUGACAAAAGAGUAUUAUGAAAAGAGUACAAUGAACACCUAUCUUAGAAAUUAUGGUUGGACCUAACACAACCUCACAAAACCGGCUUGUGAGGUGAUGAUUGUCCUUAAUUAUAAACACAUUGGCAAGUCAUCUCCUAUUCGAUGUAGGAAUCUUAACACACCCCUCACAACCAGUUGGGUUUGAUUCGUGAACAUAAAUAGUGAGUGGCCCGAUAGCGGAAACCUGAUAGCAUGUGGAUCAUCAGAUCUUGGAGAAGGUUUUGAAACCAUUUGAAAUUUAGAAUCUAACUCAUCCUUACAAAACUGACUUAUCAACCUUAGUGAGAAGGAUCUUGUAGAGUACUGACGUGAGGGGGGUGUAUUGGGGAAAACUCAAGUCCCAUAUAAAAUAGAUAAGACUCAUAACAACCUGAACCAUUUAAAAAGAUAGGAAAAAGCAUAAAAAAAAAACUACCAACGACCAUUCAAAACAAAACAAAGAACGCUGAAAACACCCAGAUCUGUUAAAAUCAAGUUUUAGCCCGUAAAUCUUACAAUUCUACAAUUUCAAGAGUGUAUUUCCAAUCAACUUGCAUUUCCCCAAGUAAAAAAAUCAACUUACAUGUAGAAUCAAAUCUAAAAUUAUGAAUGAAAUAGAGUUCACAUAAGUUAAACCGAGUCAUAGUUGGUAAAUUGGUCUAAGUAUGUUUGUUGCUCAUGAGUGUUUAUCUUUUUAUAAUUUUGAUUGAUUGUUAAAACCAAGUUUUAACUCGUAAAAUCUAACAAUUCUAAAAGUGUAUUUCGAAUCAACGUGUAUGUAGAAUCAAAUCUAAGUAAAUUUUGUGAAUGAAAUAGAAUUCAUAUGAAUUGACUCGAGUUGAAAUUGAUAAUUUUGUCGGGGUUUCUUAGUGCCUGUUUGAAGUGACUUUUGAUGAAGCAAAAACACAUUGCACACUAUUUGAUGUAAAUCUACCUUGAUUUUAAGAAGUUGAGAAUUGAAACUUCUGCGUUAAAAUGAUUUUUUUACUGUAAUUUUAACAAAACGUGGUUUGCAGUCGUCCAUCCAAAAAGGCAAUAAGUUGUUCAUGAGUUCACCAUUUUAUAAUUUUGAUUGGUUUGUUUAACCAAUGAUGUAUUUAUCAUUAUUGUAAUUUUGAUUUAUCUUUUUGUACUCUCAUUAAUUCAUUGUCUAAAAAAAUGUAAAAUGUUUGAGUGUUCACUAGCAAAAUCUAUCAAUCUAACACAUUAAUAGACACCGCCAAAAAUUUACCUCGAUAAAUUCGUGAAACAAAUCAGCAAAUGUGGCUACAGUAAAUAUGAAAACAGUUUGACAUCUUAGCCUAAUAGGGAAUAAAAGGUACGUAUAUGUGCUGGCUAUUUUUCAUAUGUCAUCAAGGUAAAAAUCUUACUUUCACAGACUUUCUAACUAUAUUUGAUUAUUUUCCAUAAAAGAUUCUAACCUUUUACAAUUUCACACAUUCAUUUUUAAUAUACUACCAUUUUCUACACACAAUGCUAUGCAGCUUUUUCGAGAAGAACAUGACUAUUAAUAUUAGUAAGAGUAUUUUUUUCAGAGGAUGGGUAUUAAGAGAAAUGUUGGUGAAUAAUGAUACCCUUGUUACUCAUUCAACACAAUUACUAAAUUUAUAUUUAUGAAAAAAAUAUGAAUUUUUCUUAGGAUAAUUAUUUUGUGUGUUACUAAAAUAUUUUAACAAAAAACAUAAUUAAAGGACAAUUUUAAAAGCUUAGAUGCAUUAUUAACAAAUUUAUUGAAUUACCAAUAUUUUUCUAACCUAUGGUAAUUAGAAUAUUUGACCCUCAAUGGUGUCCAAAGUCUUUCCAUGACUAAGAUUCUCUGGGUUCGCUAUUAGACUUACUUUCGAGUUGGUAUCAAUAUAUUUGAUCUUUCUUUUACGAUGACUAAAUUGUUUCUCAAAUGAGUAAUUAUAAGAAUCAAAUCUGAUUUUUUUUAAAGAGAAAAGUCAUGUUGUCAACUCUUUUAACUGUCAACAAUAUGAGUGUUUUUGAUCUGCUAAAAAUGAAAGAUAAGACAUGACAACUUUAGUUCUAGUAUUUGAUUUGUAGAACUAUUUCAGGACAAGACAAACUGAAGGCAAUAGAUACGACAAAAACUGAAAUUUUUGUUCCUCACUAAAUCAUAGCACAACAUUUGGUCUCACAUAUAAAUUGCGCAAAAUACCAAAGUAGCUUUUUGUCCACCACAAAUUGUACAAGAUCAGAAAUCAUUCAAUACCACAAAAAUUUGUCAUUUGUUGUUAUGUCUUGUUUUGUGUUAUUUUAUCUUGUGAUGUUAUGUUCAAUACUUACAAUUUAGCAAUCAAGUAUCAAACACACUCUAUAUUAGUAUCUCAUUUUUUUAAUUCAUGUAUAAUAGUACAACUACUAGAGUACUAUAGUAAAUAAAUGAAUGAAACUUCAUGUUGAUUAGAAUUAGGUAUGAGUUAUUAUCUACGGGGGAUUAUUCUUUGUGCCAAGUUCCAUUCUUAAUUUUUUACGCAAACUAUCAAUGUAGACUGCUAGUAUAUAUAGUACCAUACUUUACAAGAAUAAAUGUGUAUUAGUUCAUCUCUUAAGGAAUGCUAGCCAGUAGCCUCACAUUCUAGAACAAUUUUUAGUACAGUCUUUAUUGCUGUUGGAAACUCAGGUAAACUUCACUCUCCUUGAACCCUCCUAACAAUUCGGUCCUAAACCUUUCAAAGACGAAAAACAAAAAUCAAUUUGGUUCCAAAGGCUCAAUAUAAUCGAGACUUUCAAUUGAAAGUAAGUAAAGUCUGAUCGAUGAUUGUUCUAAGUUUCAACUAGAAUUUAAGUUAUAAAAUCUCUAACAGUAUAUUAUCAAGACCCUACUUAUGUAGGACCUUAAUUAAAAUAAACUUAUUAACUUUAUUUUGAAAAUAUCCUUAUAAUUAAGUUUAGGCUAGAUAAUUAUGUAGUUUCGUUCAUAUAUUUCUUCAAAAAAAAGUGUCAUUCAUAUAGAAAGCUUAACAUAUUUGGUGCAUGCAUGUUUGGUUCUGUGAUGAAUAAAAUUGAUUUUGACCAACGAAUUAAUUAAUUUCGUGAAAUUGAUUUUUUUAAGAGUGAGAUGAAUGUAAAAUGAAAUAUAUUUGUAUAUAUUUUUUUUCUUCGUAAAAUCAAGUUGAACAACAAAUUUUAGUAUAAAAUCAUGUUUAGACUCCUGAGACAAAGUCAAUUCAACUUUCAAAAAAUCAUACAUGUUAAAAUCAAUACUAUACAUCUAAAAUUAAUAAUGGUCGUUCCAUACGUAAAAUCAAACAUAGACCUAGUUCAUAUAAUAAACUAUUAUUUAAAAUUGCAACAAAAAAAACUCAUUAACAAAUUAAUCUAAAUGAUAAGAUACUUGAUUAUUAAAUUAAAUAGUUAGAGAUUUGAUCGUUGACUUUUCUGUAUAUUGAAAAUCUGAUUGAUAAGAGAAAGUGUACCACAAGUUUUUUUUAAAAAGAUUAAUCAUCUCGAUGAAAUUUAUGUACUUGACAAAUUAAAAACUUGAUCGCUGACUUUUGUGUAUAUUAAAAAUCUGAUGAUAAGAGAAGUUGUACCACAAGUUUUUCUUAGAGAGAUUAAUCUCAUGAUGAAAUUUUUGUGUCCUACAUGGUAAAAUAAAAAGUAAAAAAUAAAAUAGCCAAUGGGAUAACGACACCUAUGUGAUGUGAUUCAAAAUAAGGUAAUGAACCACAGUAGAAAAUGACAUAGAUUUUUCUCAACAUCAUUAACACACAACACAGCUGUCACCACGCGUCAUUGCAACACACGCGCUUCCCAAACAACAACGUACUAAACCAAAUCGUGAAUCUCACGCUCCAACCACGCAAAUGGUUUACAGCAAAACUUUCUAAAAAUACCCUAAGCAAACUAAAGACAAUAAAAAGAAAGUUGUACAAAAAUAGAAAGUUACACCAACCCUAAGUUUCACUCCAUUUUUAUGGUUGAAAAAAUAAAAUAAAAAAUAAAAUAAAAAACAUCUGAAGAUAAAUUGCAAUCUUGUAUCAUUGAAACUGAACUGAACAACACAACAAAUAUCAUUGUUCUCUCUCUCUACACUUUCUCUCUCUAGGGUUUCAAGUAUAAAAAUGUUUCUAUUGUCUUUCACAAAUAUGGUACUGACCUAAGAAAAGAAGGAUUUAAGAAGUGGUAAGUUAAAGAGGAAGAUAGAGAAAUUGUUAUAAUAAAUAAAUAAAUAAAGUGAAAUAUUAUUAUUUUUGAAGUUGAAUAUGGGAAGAGGAAGAGUGGAAUUGAAAAGGAUAGAGAAUAAGAUAAACAGACAAGUAACAUUUGCAAAGAGAAGAAAUGGACUUCUUAAGAAAGCUUAUGAAUUAUCUGUUCUUUGUGAUGCUGAAGUUGCUCUUAUUAUCUUCUCCAAUAGAGGCAAGCUUUAUGAGUUUUGUAGCAGUCCUAGGUAUGUUUCUGUUUCUGUUUUUUUAUUCUUAUUUUUGUGUUUUUUUUUAAUAUUUUUUUUAAUUUUUAAUUUAUAUUUUCUUUUGUAGAAUCAUAAUAACUAAUUAAAUGAGUUUCUUAGAUUUUUUUUAUUGUUUGAUUAUUGAUUUAUGAGAUAUAUUUUAUUUGAAGGUUGAUUGAUUAUUUGAGAAGUUUUUAUUUUAGAUUUAUUUAUCUAUAAUUUUGAUUUUCUGUGUUAGUAUUUGAGUUUAUUGGAUUCAUGAGAUCUGGAGAUAUAGUACAUGAUCUGGUAAAUAUUGGAUGUGUUAUUAUUAUUUUUUAUUUAUUUUUUAUAAAAUUACUUGUGUUUUUUCCUUUGUGUUUUUCAUAUCUUUGUUUUGAGAAAGUUGAUCUGAUUAAAUUCAUGUGAUGUUUUUUUUUUCUUUUUCUUGAAGGGUUUGUAGUUUUUUAACUAAUGAUGAUAAAUGGAUAAUAGAUUUGUAAUUGUUUUUAUUGAGCUAAUGAUUUUUGUUUGUUUAUUUUAGAAUUUAAUAUUUGAUUUACUUUCUAGAGAUUUUUUUCUUAAAGUUGCUGACAAGUUGUUACCAGCAGUACUAGAUUUACAUAUAUUCAAAUAAAUCAAGGACAUGAUGUUAGCUUCCUGAGUUUAUUAGUACCAAUAAAUAAAUUUCUCAUUUUUUUUUUUGACAAAAAAUAAACAAAUUUAUCUUUGUUUACUCUAAAAUUAACAAAUAUAUUUGCAUUUAGAAAGGAAUUAUAUAUGGAUGAUUAAUUUCAUUCAGUGUUUUGCUCUUCUCUGAAAUUUCUACUUAUAUAAUGGAGUAUUUAACACUUUAUUUUUCCUUCCAUUUUAUGCCUUAAAUUCACCAUUGAAAAAGUGAUUUUUGUGUUAAGAACUCCAAAGUUAGAGACUAAUAUUAGUAUUUCUGUCUCUAAUUUCUGUUGGGAAUUUUCCAUGCCAAAUUUCUAUUUUUCUCUUCAAUUUAUCACCUAAUAUGCUACCUCUUUACCCCCCAGGCCCCCCUUUUGUUUUCAAUGUAAUUUAUAAAUUUAUAAAUAUUUCUGAUGAGAUCUCCUUCAAAUUUCUAUAGUCACUUAUUAUUAAAGAUAAAAAGUACUAUAGUAAGUUCAUUUACUAAUAUUCAUGUACAUGAUGUGUUAUUUGAUGCAUUCAAUUAAUGACAAUGAAAUCAAAUAAGUCUAAGAAACCUAUAUGAUAGUUUUCAGUCAUAUAUUCCUUACUUUUAGUUCUUUUUCCUGUUAUGAUACUCAUUCUGUCAUAUUGAGGGAAAAGACAUUAAAGCAUGACUUGAUGUUCAAAGUACUCACACAUAUAUGUGCUGAAUUGGGAUAUAUUUAGUGGAUCAUAUUUAGUAUUGGUCUAUUGGACAAUUAAUAUACAACAUUUACUUUUUAAUUUACUUGAGCUAAGAUAAAAAAUGGGAAAAGGAAAUGGCUUCACAAACAUGGAAUUUAACCCUAGAAAAAUUUUAUUGUCAAUAGGAGAACAAAUUCAUAAAUGCUCCUAAAUAUAGGGAUAUAUCUUGGACCAACAUUUUAUAUUUAGUUGUAAUCAAGAAAUUAAGAAAUUAAGGGUUCAUGUUUUGGUGGCCUGAUAUUGCAUUUCACUUGUAUUUGAGCCUCAUUAUCUUAAUUUUACUUUUAUAUGCUUGAGUUUGUGAAACACAUAAGCUAUUCAUUGUUUUAUUUAUAAGUGCUUAAAUAAUUACAUUCUUAGCAUUUUCUUGUGCUUUGGAUCUAUGAAUAUCAUUUUAGUUGUAUGAAAUUGUUAUUCAUGAAUUGAUUGGUUGUUCCUUUCUUUUCCUUGAAUGCAGCAUGCUCAAGACGCUUGAUAGGUACCAAAAAUGCAGCUAUGGUGCAGUAGAAGUUAACAAACCUGCCAAAGAGCUUGAGGUAUAUAAAGCUAUUGCUUUAAUUUGUUUAACACACAUGAUUAUAGCAUUUGGCCCUAUUCAAAUAAACAACUUCAUUAAGCAUUUAUAGCCUAAGUGCUUAUCAUAUACUACCUUCGUCCCUAGUUAUAAGCCCUUUGAAGAAAAUUUUGUGCUAAGUAUAAGCCAUAUGCAAUUUACUAUGUGCAUUUUAUCUCUCUCUAAACAUGCUCCUUAUUAAUACUGCCAAUUGAUCUUGAAAAAUGAAAAGUUAAGGUGGACAAGGGGUAUUUUAGGAAGAUCCACAUAGUAAAUAGACACACGAAAUUCACUAAUAGUUUUUCUUAAUAUUUUUUUUUAUGGUGGCCGGGGUUCGAACUCCCGAACCGUGCAUAUAUUAUGUAUUGUCCCUACCAACUGAGCUAAGCUCACGAGGACAAUAAUUUUUCUUAAUAUAUGAAAUUUUUUAGAGGUCCUUAGAAAAAUGAACGGAGAAAGUAAGUGAUUACGUUACGUAUAAACUAUUUUUAUAAUAAAAGAUACAAUAAAGUCAAAAUAAUUUUCAUAUUAACUAUAAUUUGUUAUCAUAAGCUAACAAUAAUUCAUGGACAUGUCAUAAAUUGCUUUUACAAGUGCGUCUAAACAUCCUCACAAAUACUUUCGUCAAUAGAUAAACCUAAAUAAGUCAUUUUAGGUAUUUUUUUCAACAUCUCUUGAAAAUUUCACUCAAGAAAAGUGUUAUAAACUACUAUAGAGCAUUGAAAAUAUGCUUAUGCCUAUUGUUAUAAACUAUUGAAAAUAUGCUUAUGCAUUGAAAAGUGUUAUGGACUAUUGUUAUAUUUAACUUGUUACUUGCUUUAGCAGAGCAGUUACCGUGAGUACUUGAAGCUGAAAGCAAGAUUUGAAUCUCUUCAAAGGACUCAAAGGUAAAUAUAUUAACAUGUGUGAGUGUAAAUGUUCAAACUAUAUAUAUGUUUUUGAAGUGUUUCAUUAAGACCAUGGCAUUUUGUUCCUUAAUUGCAGAAACCUUCUUGGUGAAGACUUAGGUCCAUUAGGUACCAAAGAUCUUGAGCAGCUUGAACGCCAACUUGAUUCAUCUCUCAAGCAAGUCAGGUCCACCAAGGUAUAAAAAUUCGUCUCUAAUUACAUCGUUAACUGUUAGAGACAUCAAAUUUAGUAAUCAAGUUUAUGUUUCUGUCUCUAAUUUUCGUCGCAUCAACGCUUUUUAGUGGUGUUUGUGAGUAUUUAAGAUGCAUAAAGAAAUUUUUUAAACUUAAACUUUCAACUUUAAUUAUGUCAUACUGCUCAAUUAGUAAAAUAUAAUUUCUUGAAUAGAAUAUUUCAUAAAACCCUAAGUUUCAGUAAAAUGUGAAAUGCUUAACUAUGUUGGUGACACAGUUUUGAUCAUGAAAAUGGUUAAUAUAUCUGAAAACAAAUCCUGAUAAUUCCUAGUCUGAAGUUUCCUUAUGAAUAGCUUAUUAUUACUUGUGAGAUUAAAUCAUUAAAUUGGUCUCUGUCUUUGUACUCAUUUUCAAAUUAGCCUCCGACUAUAUUAAUAUUUCAAACUAAUUUAUGUCUUUAUCAAAAGUUUUUCAUUUAGGUCCCUCGUCAUGCGACAGAAACAUAAAAAAGACCUAAUUGAGAAACUUUUAACAAAGACAGAGACUAGUUUAAAAUAUUAAUAUAGUCGGGGACUAUUGAAAAUGAUCUACAAAGAUAGGGACCAAUUUGGUGGUUUCUUGUUACUUCUUUUGAUGAUAUCUGACAUUAAAUGGAACAUCAAUUUGCAGACCCAAUUCAUGCUGGACCAAUUAGCUGAUCUUCAAAAUAAGGUACAUGGUGUUUGCAUUACUUCAUAAUAAAUCAACUUUAUAUGUUCCUAACACAUGUAAUCCAUUUUUUGGCCAUAGGAGCAUAUGUUGGUAGAAGCAAACAGAUCUUUGUCUAUGAAGGUAACAUUCAUCCAUCAUCCAUGCCAUUAUUGUUCUUAUGCAUGGUUCUAUUUCACAAUAUGAUUAUGUACUUGUCUAAAGUACUUGGAACAUUAAAAUACUAUUAUGAAUUUUUUUGAAAAGGAAAAAUACUAUUAUGAAUUGAUUAAUGUACCUUAAGACUAAAGUAGUAACCUAUUCUUACAAUAUAAAGACUAUAGUACUGAUUUAUACCUAUUCAUCCAUUCAUAUUAAUUAAGUCCUUGUGCUGAUGAUUUGAUUGAAUACUAUUCUAUUGAAAGCUGGAAGAAAUCAAUAUCAAUUCAAGAAACCAGUAUAGGCAAACAUGGGAAGCUGGUGAUCAAAGUAUGGCAUAUGGUAAUCAAAAUGCUCACUCACAAAGCUUCUUUCAGCCUUUGGAGUGCAAUCCAACAUUGCAGAUAGGGUAAUAAUCUAUAAAUCAUUUUCUUUUUUGUUGUUGCUAAAGAUGAUUUGAAUUAGGUUUAACUAUUCUCUAGGUCCUAAACUAUUUCAAAAAAUUUAAAUAGGUCACUGAAUUAAAAAAAAAUAUUGUACCUGGGCCCCUAAAUUUGUUAUUGAUUUGUAAUUAGGUCCUUAAACUACUUUUUUUUUUUUUUUAAAUCGUGUCCCUAAAUUUUUAAAUAAUUUGUAACUAUGUCGUUGAACUUACGGAACUUACAGAUGCAAAUAUAAAUUAUUUAAAAUUUUAAGGACCUACUUAUAGUGCAUGUUUGGAAUCACAUUAAAAACAAUAAAAUGACACUGUGAUAUUGUUGAAACUCUCGAGUGUAUUUUUUGUCAAAAUGAAAUAGUUCAGAUACAUAUAAAAUAUAUUGAACCUUUAAAUUAUUAAAUUCUAAACCAUUGUUCCUUGAUACAGGACUGAUUACAGGUACAGUCCUCCAGUAGCAUCAGAUCAGCUAACUGCAACAACUCAAGCUCAACAAGUUAAUGGAUUUAUUCCUGGAUGGAUGCUUUGAGCUAAGCUCAUUAUUUCUCUAUUUGCAUAAAAGCAAAAGACAAAAAAAUGCCUUUUGGUUUUGACAUUGUUGUAAAUGCUGCAUGUGCUUCUUUCUGGUUAACUUGUUUUGCUAUAAAAACAGCAGUGACUGAAUUAAAACUAUUGAAACUUUUAGCCAUAGAUAUAUAUGGCAUAUAUGAAGGUUUUUAGUAUUUUGAAUAUCUUUAGAUGUUAUUUUCAUUUUUCUUAUGCAUCACUUACUAAUCUGAUACUAAUCUAUAUGCUUUAUAUCAUUAUAUGCAUUGUUUUUAAACAUCAAUUUUAAUUUCAUUACUAGAGGAACAUAUAAAAUAGUAUUUGGUUGGUUGUGAAAAGGGUGGUACAAUGUGUGUAUGAGUAUCUUUUUUCUAUUUGGAAUAUGUUUGAAGGCAAAUUUUAAUAUGGACCACCUUCAUAAGUGUUUCAUCAUGGACCAUACUUUAAAAAUGUUUAAAUGUUAAAAUAAUUUAAGUGAGUAACCACUGAAAAUUGACUAAACUAUUUACAAAAUUGUGGGUUCAACUCAUGUUGUCAGCAUGAGACCUCUUUAAUCAAUGAUUUAUAAAUAUCUUUGUUAGUGUUCAUUAAACUUUGAGACUUUCCUCGACACUCGGUGAAUCUCUGAAAUUAAAUUUAUCCAAACAUCAUUUGAUCCCCAAACUCCUCAAUAUAGUGCAUUUGAAAGAAGAGAAAAAAUAUGUUCCACACGUGAGUCAUAUGAUCAACUGCACAUAACUAAAGUUUGCAUGGGAAUGCUGACCUCUUUCAAUGCAACUCCAUUUGAGCUUAGCAUAAACAUUAAAUAUCCACUUGUAUUGUUUAAAGUAUGUUCCUUAGAACACCAUAUGUAAUGUUGGUAUAAAAAAAAGUUAAAGUGCAUUUUUCCCCCCUUAAGUUUUAAAAAGUUAUAAUUUUAGUUCCCUAUGUACAAAAACUACAAUUUUGAUCCCUUAAGAUUUAGCCCAUUUGCAACUUUGAUCCUUUUGGUCAAUUUUGACCAAAAUAAUGAAUUAAAAAAUAAAAAAUGCCACAUAAUCAUUUUAUAAAUUAAAUAAAUUAAAAAAUAUUAAAAAUCAGAAAAGGUUAAAAAUAAAACCCAAAACAAACAUAUUCAUCAUUCAUCUCUACCAAUCCAAAAAAAAAACCUUCAAUCUUCAAUUUUCAUGUCUUCAUAACAAUCUUCAAAAAUUGUAAUUAACAAAAAAAAAAAAAAAAGACUUAAUUGCUAUUUUUCGUCCCUUAACUAAUUUUUUGGUAUCACUUUGGUCCCAUAAUUAAUAAAAAGUCUGUUUGAGUCCUUUAAAUAUGUCUCUGUUACAUAAAUUGGCUCCUUCCGUUAAUUUUAUUAAAAAAUUGUUAGAAUUUGUACAAGUCAUCACCUUCAUUCAACUUCUUCAUCUUCUUCCUCAUCCACAUUCAUCAACCUUCAUAAUAAAAAUCCAGCACAACAGAAAACUGAAGAAAAAAAAUCGAACCUUGAAAUUGAAAUUGGAAGAAAACAAAUUGAUUCUUAAAUAUUGAAACAUAAAAGCUCUAUUUUCUGUAGAGGAAAAAAAAAACUCAUUUUCAAAUUCAAUCUAAACUCUUCAUCAUUAUCAUCAUCAUCAAUCCUUCAUAAAAAUCCAUUCUUCAUAAAAAUCCAUUUUCUGAACUAAACCCAUCACCAUUAUUCCUUCAAAAACAAAACUCAUUGUCGAAAGAGGAACACAUAUGAAGGAGAAUUGGAACACGAUUUCAGUACCCCAAUCAAAAGAGGAACACAUGAGUAAGAACUAGAACACAAAAAACUUGAAGAUUAUUUGCAAUUUCAACAACGCAUGCAAAUCAACGAUUUUGAGCAUGAUUUCCGAUUUUCAUUUGUUUAAGAGGAAUUGAAAACGAAUUUUCGUUUGAUGGUGUUAUGAGAAGACCUAUGGAAGAAGAAGACGACGACUUAUGGUGUUAUGGGUGAAGUUGUUGUCAUUGGAAUAAAAAAAAUUUAGUCAUUCCAAAUCUUAAAGAAAUUCACAAAUUAAAAUGAUAAUGAGUUUAGAUUAGGAUUUCAUAUGAUAAAGGUAAAGUAUUAUAUGAUGAGUUUUGUUGUUUAAGUUUUUUUUUUUUUUUUUUUCUCUGGGUUUGUAUGAAGGUUUUAUGAAGAUUUGUUGAAGAAGAUGAAGAUGAGGAGGAAGAAGAUGAAUAUAAAUUCCAACCAAUGUGAAAAUGACACGUGUGCUUGAGUUAACAUAUUUUUUAAUAAAAUUAACGGAAGGAACCAAUUUAUGUAACAGAGACAUAUUUAAAGGAUUCAAACGGACUUUUAUUAAUUAUGAGACCAAAACGAUACCAAAAAAUUAGUUUAGGGACGAAAAUAGCAAUUAAGCCAAAUAAAAAUUAAUUCAAAUUAAAUGGCACAAAAUUGUAUUCCUUUUCCAACUAGCAGCAACGUAAUAGUUGAAUCCUAAACUUUUUUUUUUUUGGUCAAAUGAUAAACUCUUAUUUCUAUUAUGUAUUUGAUUGACGCAUAUAAUAAACUAGAUUAAUAUUUAAAAAUGCUGAAAUUGCCGAAAUUGUUAGGCCGGAUGCCAUGAUCGGGGUUCGAACCCCGGUACCUCCACUUGUGUGUGUGAGUUUAUAAUGGCUUUGCCAUUUCGUCUAUCUAAAAAAAAAAAAAAUUGAUAUUUGAACAGCUAUUUUACAAUAACUUUUGUGACAAUUUUAUCUCUCAUACUUACAUCAUGUUUUUACUUGAUCUGUCUUUGAUAAAUCAUAAAAAAUGAUAAGAUUAAUCAUGUGAUAAAGUUAUUCAUUUUUAAAAUUUGCCCAUGGAAAACGACCAUAUUUUUCUAAAAAUAAAAUGGAGAGUCAUACUCAUAACCCAAAGAGGAGGGAAAAAAAAGCUAGAUAAAGUGAAGCCGGAGAUUCUUUAUAGACUUCUUCUAACUCCAUGCUUCUCAAAGCCCCUUGAUUUGUCCGAAUUUUAAAAUCCAAACUCGUAAAAAAUGGAGUAAAAUCAAUCCAAUCCUGUAAAUUUAAGGCAGCGAGCAUCGCAACUCGAAAGGAGAGAACAUGAUUUUUUUUUUUUGGGGAGUCCAUCGACUUGCUAAAGUUGACGAAUUAUAGUAUAGCCAUAACACAAAGGGUUAAAAAUAAGUGUAGUGUAAUAAUUAGUGUAACUAUUUGGUGUAAUUUGAUCUUUUAUAUAUGCAUACAUGACUUUUCUUCAAGAUGAAUUGUAGAACUCAUGGCUUGGAAAACACCAAACCUUACAGUAAACAACAGAGCAAUAAUAGAUCAACAUGGUGCUGCAUUGACAAAGUUUCCAUCUAAAUCACUUUUUUUUCCUUCACAGUUGUUUCAGACAAGGAGACAAGCUUCAAUCUAAAAAACACAUGAGCAGUAAGAUUGAACUCACAACAAUUAAGAAAAACUUUCAUAUACAUAUACAAACACUUCAUCUUUCAUUAUUCACAAUGUCUAUACUUUUAUAUCCUUCCUUUCCUCUGUUGCUUCCUUUAUGCACCACCCAAAUCAAUCAAGUGUACGUCGUUUCAUCGAAAUCCAUUUCCUAUACAGAAAAAUAUACACAUAUGUAGCCAAAUAUAUAACCAAUUUAUCAUUCAUUAAAAUCCAACUAAAAGCCUAGAAUUUUGCAAUCAAUCAGGAAUACAUUGCCAACAACAAUCUAUACAUCAUAGAAGAGAUAAAAUUACAUCGGUAUAACAUUUGGAUAGUGUUACAUUGUUCAAUAACCUUCUACCAUAUACACGUACAUAUUUUAUGUAACUCGCCGUUUGAAUGAAAAUUUAAAUCAUAGAUUAUCUCAGUAGAUUUUUUAUAUAAAACUAAAAUUCUCUAACAUGUCAUUGAGACACAUCAAGAUUAACGUCAUUUAAUAAAAAACACUUAAAGAUGUUAAUCUUGGCGCAAUCUACAGUUGCCAACUUUACCAAGAUUAAAAACAUAGUAUGUUAUAAUUAAUGACAGAGGCAGUAACUAAAAUUAUUGAAACAAAAAAAUGAUUGAGCAGAUACAUAUCGGCACUGUGCAUUUUUUUGUUAACUACUAAGAUUAUGUUUUGUUCAUUUAGCAUUUACAAGUCACGAUAAUUUAAUAUUUGAACUUCUCUUAAUAGAAGGUGUAGUUCUACCUUGAUGUAUGCUACGAAGCAAAUUUUAUGGAUUUCACUGCAAACAUAUUUGGUUAAAGAUGUUAGAAAAUAAUACAUUACCUUCCCACAAACUGGACAAUUGUCACUUCUCUCCAUCCACUCAUAGAUGCAACCAAGGUGAAAAUGAUGAGAGCAUUUUGUCAUUAUCUUUGGAUUCUCUUUAGUGUACUCUGCAAGCAUAAACAAUUGUCAAAACAUAGAACUUAUCAAGAUGCAUAUUAUUCAUAUUUUUACCUUCAAGAUCAACUAAUGAAACCAUUGCGCAAACCAAGUUUUAUUAUCCCCGUUCAAUUGAAAUAUACCUUCAAGAUCAACUUAACAAUUUAAGGCACAAGAGGCACAAAUUUGAAAGUAAAAGGAAAAAUGAUGCCCAAUGGAGGCUCAAAAGAUCGUCAACUUUCUAUAGUAUAUCGAAUCAAUUUAAGUCCUUAUAAGUUAUAAAGCUUGAAUAAUUUUCACCUCUUGAGCUAGCUUUUGGGGCUAAGUUAGGUCUAAAGCCUAAAAAUCUGCAUAUAGUAGAGUUUAUCAUUGAUCCAUUAUUGGGCUACCCAUAUUUAUUUCUCCUAUGUUCUACAUGUUCGGUCCUGACUCCUGAGCAUGGGGUACAUUCAUUCACGCUUUAAACAUCUAUCUAGUCUUAAGCAUGAGGGGUGUCAGAGUCCCAAUCAAUAUAGAUAUCGCCUAAGGCAAUCAUAAAAUUGAGACAAUCCUAACCUAACAAGUCGAUUUAAUAUGGUUCCAUUAGGCCCUAGCUCGCCUUUUUAAUAGUUUACAUUCAAGCAAAAGGAAAAUAUUAUGCACAAUAUAGGCUCAAAAGAUCAUCAACUUCCCAGAGUAAGUAUAUCAAAUUAAAGUUUCUAAGUACAGGCUUGAGGAAUUCUCACCUCUUGAGCUAGAUUUUAGGGCUUAGUUUAAGCCUAAAUCCUCAGAUAGUGAUAGAGCCAUAUCGUGGAUAUGUUAUUGGGUUACCCAUAUUUGUCCGUGUGCUAGAUGUCCGCUCAUGGAAGGUGUUUUAAAAUCUCUAUUACUCAGUCACUCACAUUUGUCCACCAUGGUAGUAAGAAUCGCGAGUCAACUCAUUGGAGCAUACAAUCUGUAUUGCGAUCCCGCGAUUUAUGAUCUCGUGACCCCUUCCCGGUCUCAGGUAGGAUCUCGAUUCUGACUAUCUUGGUCCAUGCUUCAGACGUCUAGUAUUAAGCAUGAAGGGGUGUGUUGAGAGUCUCAAUCAAUUAGAGAUAUUGCCUAAGAGGUAAUCAUAAAACUCAGACAAUCCUAACCUUACAAGUCAAUUUUAUUUGAAUCAGUUGGGCCCUAGCCCAAAUUUUAAGAGUUGUCGUUCAGGCUUAAAAGAAUAUUUCACUACACAAGCACAAAGUUAUAACUAUAAGACCCCUACAUGACACUGAAUGCAAAUAGAUAAAAAUCUGAAAAGAAAAUAAACUAUACAAUGCGGUGGGAACAAAGUUACAGUGAGUUACAAGGCAUAAUAGGAUUAAAAUGAAGAUAGUUAUUAGAGAGUUGGUGUAAAAGCUAACGUGGAAAAGAUGGUAUAGUCUUUUCUUAGACAGUUUGGAUAUGUCACAUGUGUGGUAAAGACAGAGAAGCCCGGGAAGAAAAGUAGAUAAGAAUGGUAGCGAAAAAGUUGGGACUAGAUAAUAGUACCCAACAAAAACUGUAGACUAAACCACUAAGAAGGAUUUAGAUUUAAAUGGCUUGAUGAUCUACUUGAUUUAAGAUAAAAACUACCAAGUAAUUUAUCAAAAAAAAUUAACCGACUCCACCUAAUGGAAGGGAAGAUUGCAUUGUUCUUUUUGUUGAUGCCAAAAUCUUUCACUGACUAUGUAGCACUGACACUUCAGAACGAAAGCUGGUCCAGUGUCCGACACUAACACGACACAGACCACAUGUGGUUACAUUUAAUCACUUCCAUUUUAUCAUAUUAUUACUGGUGUAUGUGUCAAUGUUCAUGUAUAUACCUGUGCUUCAUAAAUCACCGAGCAUCAUAUAGUACCAAACCAUGCUGAUUUAAGUCCCAGUAUCAAAGGGUCUUCUAAUGAAAAACUGAGAUUAUUAAAGAAAAUGUAUAAAUCUACCUUCAAGACAAGUUGGACAAAUAUCCUCGUCUUCCGACGAUGCAUAAAUGAGUCCAACUCCGGUUGUAUAUUUUGCUGAUGAAAGUUUUAAUGCGGACUUAGAACGGUAUAUCUUUGAUUCAUCUUCACAGGCACAUUCAUUCCAUUUCUCUGAUGAAUGUAAAGGUUCUGGAUCCACAUCUGUGUCACUUCUUAGAGGUUCAGUUUCGUCAUUUGAAUGGCUUGAACUUUUCUCACGCCUUGAAACUAGUCCAUCACGCUGCGAGCGGAAAAACCGAGGCUCUGCAUCAUAAGGUAAAGGCCUUGGAGGAGAACGGUACAUGUCAGAUAGAGAAUUAUCAAGUGAUGCGGCAGAAGUCAUGGACGCUGUCCCCUGAAGAGAUGAAGGAACUGAAUGUGCUUCCCCUCUACGAAAUAUUGAUGCAUACUGAAAUUUGAGAUAGGAAAAUGGUUAUAUUUUUUAUUAAAAACUACAGCUCUGAUUUACAUCAUUGUGAAAAAAGGAUUUUGGUCUAAAAUAGUCUUUAGGUAGCUUUCCAACAAAUCGUAAUAUAAAUGCCGAUCAAUAAGGUGGAUUUACCAUCAAGAAACAUACAUUCACAAAUGCAGAGUACUUUUCCUAGGCCAAAUAAUAGGUUAGUACAAGCAAUAUUGUCAAUCAUGGAUCGCGGAAAAUAGUGGUUUGUUCACAUUCCACCUUGCCACAGUGCUAUACCGCCGCUAUUUGACAACACUUUGUAACAAAUAGCAUAUUGGCAUCGCAAAACAAUAGCGAUUUAUUCAAAUUCCUCUAUACUAUAGCGCUGCUACAGCCAUUAUUUGACAACAGAGUACAAAUUGAUUUGAGAUGUUUUUCUUUUGUGGGCUUUGUAGGACAAGUUUGCAAUCACUUGACUAUGUAAGCUUCAUAUUAUAAACUUUCCCGCAAAACUAAGUGAGACAUAUUUUGAUUUUAAGAGUCACCUCUAACAUUGAUAGCACUCGAGAUUUCUUCACUGAAGCAUACAUGCAAAAGAAUACCAUUUAAAAAUAAGUAGGACUAUGACACAUUUCAAGAAUAGUUGUACGCACUAUACAAAACCAGAACACUAAAGAGAUGCUAAUGCCAACAAUUUCACUUGCAAAAUUUUAGGUUAUAUAAUUCAAGCAAAGGAACCAGGUGUGCAAGGAACGCAAAGAUCAGCACAUCAGAUGUUCAUGCGAUGUCGCUAUAGUCCCCAAAUUAAUGAAAAUUACAAAAGCAUCUCAAAUGUGUCUCUCGUCAAUCAGUUUGGUACUCGAAUGUGUUUUUCGUUAGUUAGUUUAGUCCUCAAAUGUAUCAUCCAUUAGUCAGUUUGAUCCAUCAAUAUACUAACAAAAGUUACACUCGAAUUGUUGUAAUUUCGAUACAAUCAAUGACUACAUAGACAUUGCCUCACAUUUAGCAACCAAUAUGACUAUUUACUCUUCAAAUUCAAAUUACGUAUAAGGCAAACAAAACAAGGGAGAGAAUGGAAAGAGGAUGUAGAUACAUACCACAUUCAAAAGAUUCUGAACCAAGCAACUGAGACACGGGCAAUUCCUAUACACAGUACUAUUUGGAUUUACAUAAUCUUCAUAAUCAUCAAAGCUCAAACAACAACAAACAGAACCCAUUAUUCCAACUAGCUUCAGAUUUCUCCCACUCUUCAACUGAUCAAUGAAAACUAGAUGGUGCUACAUGCAUGGUUUGAGAAAAAUAGUCUCCAACAGCACCACACCAACUAUGUUUUCAGAAGCUUCACUGCAUCCAUGAAACAGUACCAUCCCUCAUUUGUAAUAUGGAUCAAAGCACUGUUGCUCUUGCUCACCUGCAAAAUAAAUCAAAAUAGCAUUACAGAAAAACAACAAGAUCAUUAUUGAAAAGCAUGAGAAAGUUGUAGAAUAUACCAUUCAUACAAUUAUUUCACAAAUUAAAAUAACUAUGCUCGAAUUCAAGAUAAGAAAUUCCCUUAUAUAUUUAAUGCGCAAAAAUGUGUAUGUGUGUAUUCAUCAGAAAAAUAAUAUCACUUGUUUAUUAGCUUGGUUGCCACAUAUCUGAGCAAUGCACCAAAUGUUCAUUAUUCAAACCAACGUGUACAGAACUUACAAGGAUAUAAAAUCAGAACUAUGACACAAGAUCAGUACAAAACACAUGAUAUGAAUACCAUAUAACAUAAAAUAACUAAUAUAAAAUGGAUUUAAUCCAUAUACAUUGUCACCGUAAAGAUUUUUUACACCGUCAAUAAAUCAUAAUCGUCCCAACAUUAACAACAUUUGACUUUUUAAUCCGUACACACAAUUAGUGGUGAUUUGCUGACAAUAUAAAACUUCACACUUAAAUUUUUCUAAAACUUUUUACACUGAAAGUGUAUCAAAAAUUAAAUUAUUAUUAUAAAAUUAAAAAACUAAUAUGAAAAUUUGACACACACCGACAGUAUCAUGUGCUCAGUCUAUAAACUCCAAAGUUUGGAAAAUUUGAUUCUUUUCUUCACAUAAAAGCUAUGUCAUUGUAUCAACCAACAUCAUCACAGUACAAAGCUUCAAAAAAUUAUAUAAAUUACAAAAUAAAACAAAUAAUCAAUAUAAAAUCAUAUCAGAAACGCACUUGAAUUAGCAAAAACAAAGCGACCCAUUUCAGAUUAUCAUAUCAAUAAGCAAUUAAAAGGGUCAAAAUGAAAUUUAGAAGCCGAAAACUCAGGUGGGUAUGGUGAGAAAAAUAUAAAAAUUGAAUUUUUAUUAUUAUUUUUUUAUAAUAAAAAGAGUGUAAGAAAAAGAGAUUGAAGAGAUGAACCUUGGAGUGAGAAAUUGAGGAGAGUAGAUAGAUGGUUGGAGAAUGAAAUUGCAAAGGAAAAGGGGUUGAAAAUUUUGGAUUUUUGCGGCGAUUAUUGCUAUGAAACUGCGAAAUUGAAGCUAUCUCUUGUUCUUCUCUUUCUUUCCCUUUUGCUUUGGUUUGGUGGGUGAAGUGGAGUGUUUUAUUUAUUUUAUUUAUCUUUUUCAUUUUCUAUUUUAUGAGUAAAUAAAAAAUUCAAUCUUUGAAAUUUAUAAAGUACAACAUUUUUUUUUUUGAAGAGAUUAAAAUGAGAUAUAUUACCACAACAUAGGGCCUCCUGGCUCAAGAUGAAUCAAGGAAGAAAACCCCAAAGAGUUAAAACAACAACUAUACAAUAAUUACAAGACAAAGGCCUACACCGCACAACAUGCCGGUUCCACCAAAGAAUUAGCCUAUGCCUAAAAUAGUAAACGGACUAAUCCACCAACCAUGAUAAUUGAAGGAAAGAGUUAUAAACCUCGUCUUCAACCAUUUGAAAGUCAGUAACUUAAUCCUAUCGACCACCUGUAAGAUUGAGCUAUCUAUAGCCUUAAAAAUUCUGUUAUUCCUUUCCUUCCAAAUUUCCCAAACUGUUGCAAACCAAAUAACCUGUAAAAUUGAUUGCCUCGAUUUAGAGACACCACCAAAGUGGUGAAAUUGAGUAAAAUUCCCAGAGACGUCAUUAGGUAACACCGUAACAACUCCAAGCCACUGUAGAAUAUAAUUCCAAACCGUACUAAAAAACAUACAAUGAAACAAUAAGUGAGUGGAAGUUUCAAAACAUCCACAACCACCCACACACAUUUGAUCAUCGAAUUGCAACACCUGACGCCUAAAUAAAUUAUCUUUUGUUGGAAGUCGGUCACGAAACAAACGCCACACAAACAACAAAACCUUUAGCUGUACAUCCUUAUGCAAAAUAAAAGGUGCUGUCCCCAUUGUGACGACAACAUCUUGUGCGAUAAUAGAUGUAUAUGCACUGCGAACUGAAUAAAUUGAAGACAAGUCUGGCUUCCAUAUCCAUUGAUCCUCUCUAUGAACCUGUAAAGACAAAUUUUGCAGUAAAAUAAUAAGCUCUUCCACCGACUCCUCCUCUCACGCAAACAACCUACGUCUCCACCUCCACGCCCCUCCAUCCACCCCCCAACCUAACUCUUUCAUCACCGCCACAGAUUCAUCCUUCAACAACGUCAACUCAAAUAACCUAUAAAAUCUAGCCCUUAACGACACCUCUCCCACCCAAACAUCCGACCAAAACUUGGUAUCUUUUCCAUCACCCAAGGAGCGAGAAAUAUUACUAUAAAACCACCCCUCCGACCUCAAACUCGCCACAUUCCUCCACCACAAAGAACUAUCACGAUCUCCAACCCUCAACCUUCCGUUCUCUAAACCAUUCCUAGCUGCCAACACCCUAAACCACAAACUAUCCUUCUCCACCAACAUCCGCCAACACCACUUCCCUAGCAAUGCCAAAUUAAUUUCUUUUAUUCUCCUUACCCCCAAUCCUCCAACCUCCUGACUCCGACAAAUAGAAUCCCAGUCAACCCAAAAAAAUUUCCUAUGGUCUACACUCCCCCGCCCCCCCCAAAAAAAAUAAUAUUUAAAAUAGAAUUGAUAAAGGAAAUAAUACCUGACGGAGCCUUAAAAAAGAAAGAGCAUAAACAGGGAGUGAUGACAGGACAUAUUUCAGUAAAACCAAACGGCCACCCAAGGACAAGUGUCUCGACUUCCAACCCGACAGUCUAGAAUUUAUUCGAUCAAUAAGCGGCUUCCAAAAAUUCAAUCAACUAGCAUUCCCGCCAAUAGACAAACCAAGAUACAUAAACGGAAUGGUACCAAUUUUACACUUCAUCACCAUAGAAGCCUUGACAACCACGACCCUUCAACAUUAACCCCGACCAAAAGACUCUUAGAAAAAUUCACCUUAAGACCAGAGAGAUCCUCAAAAAGCAAUAAGAUGGCCCGCAAAGCUCUGACAUUAGCCCAAGAUUUUUCGCAUAAGAUAAUUGUAUCAUCCGCAAACUGAAGAUGAGACACCACCACCGGCUCAUGGCUGCCCACCUUAUAACCAGAUAAGAGAUUAUUAAUUGCAAAAGCUUCCAUCAACACAUGAAACCCCUCUGCCGCCAAAAGAAACAAAAAGGGUGAGAGAGGAUCUCCUUGCCUUAAACCCCUACCCAAAGAGAAUUCAUCUGUAGGAGACCCAUUAACCAACACUGAAGCUGUGGCCGUCCCCACACACUCCUUAAUCCACUUACGCCAAAGAGUCGGAAAAUUCAUUUUCACCAUCACUUUAUCCAAGUAGCUCCUAUCAAUGGAAUCAUAUGCUUUCUCAAAGUCAACCUUGAAAAGUAAUAAUUCAUUAUUACGUUUCCUUGCAACAUCAACCACCUCAUUUGCCACCAAAAUGCCAUCUAGAAUCUGACGACCUUUAAUAAAGGCCGAUUGAGCAUCAGAAAUAACCGAACCAAUAACCAAUCGAAGCCUAUUAGCCAGAACCUUAGCCAAAAUUUUAUACAAACAACCAACCAGAGAAAUGGGCCGAAAAUCAUUCAAUUUUUGAGGACAAUCAAUCUUCGGAAUAAGAAGUACGACAUUUAUUUAUUAGUGAGUAAACCAUCAAAUUGGUUUAUAUCUUUUAAGUUAUUACUCCCUAAUUUUAUUAAUAUUUCAAACUGUUCAUGAUUUGUUAAAAGUUUUUCAAUUAUGUUCCCGUAAGCUAAGGACAAUGCAUAAAUAAUAUAUGCCACAAAAAAAAAAAAAGUUUUUCAAUAAUGUUCAUCGUCAUGUGACAAAAACAUUAAGACAUAGACUUAAUUGAGAUAAUUGAUUUCGCUAGAAAGUUGAGGAGAGACUAUCUAAUUUUUAAAGUUGAUUUUGAAAAGGCAUAUGACUCAGUUAGCUGGACUUUUCUUGAUUAUAUGAUGAGGUGGUUGGGUUUUGGGUCCAAAUGGCGUAGCUGGAUUAAGCCUUGUGUUUUCUGUGGUAAGUUGUCAGUUUUGGUUAACGGAAGCCCAACUAAAGAGGUUAAUAUUCAUAAGGGUCUGAAACAAGGUGACAAUCUAGCCCCUUUCUUGUUUUUGCUGGUGGUUGAGGGGAUGGGUGGGGCUGUUAAGAGGGCCUGAAAGUUAACUUCGCAAAGAGCAGGCUGAUUGGAGUUAAUGUCAAUGACGAGUUUCUAAGGGUGGCUGAGUGUUUCCUUCAUUGCAGCAGGGGAAGUAUUCCUUUUGUCUACCUGAUGGGAUAAAACUGCAAGUGUACGGUUCUAUCGAAGUAGUAAAAUAAGAGUAUCGUUCAGAAAGGGAGUUGUUAAAUUCAACUAACUUUUGUUGAUGAUUAGAAGAGAAUCAAGUUGCAAAGUUGGGGUUUUCAAACGGUUGAAAGAUAAUAUAAUAAAAAGAGCCUUGGGAUCAUUGAUUCAUCUUAAUGACAAGUCCUUCUCAAACCAAACUAUUAAACUUAGAACCUUAUGUUAGACCUAACUUCUAAAGACAAUUUCUCUUUUGUUCCUCUAGCAACCAAGCCUAUUUCGCUGACUUGAUUAUUAUUAUAUUUUGGUUCCUAUAGCAACCAAGCUUAUUUCGCUGACUUGAUUACUAUUAGUUCCCUUGAAUAUCAAACUUAUAUGUCUCCAAGAUUGCAAAGACGAUUUCGCUUCCUUUGCAAUCCUUGUCUAAAUUCACUUGUUCGAAUAUCAAAGUGAUGUAGGAUUUUUACCUCUCAUAAAACUAUUUACACGUGAGUAUAUAUAGGAUCGUGUCCACAGGGAGUUGCGUUUUUCAUAAGCAUUUUCACAAUAUUUGUCACGUUAAGUGUUUGGGUAUAAAUUGUUUGUUUGUGUAAAACUAUUUUCCUAAUCGACAUAAAAGUAAAACGAGAAGAGAUAGGGCUAUUCCGCUUGCGGUCAGAGACAUCAACCAAGCGUAACAGCUGCAAUCUCUCGAUCGAUUAACGGAUUCUANNNNNNNNNNNNNNNNNNNNNNNNNNNNNNNNNNNNNNNNNNNNNNNNNNNNNNNNNNNNNNNNNNNNNNNNNNNNNNNNNNNNNNNNNNNNNNNNNNNNNNNNNNNNNNNNNNNNNNNNNNNNNNNNNNNNNNNNNNNNNNNNNNNNNNNNNNNNNNNNNNNNNNNNNNNNNNNNNNNNNNNNNNNNNNNNNNNNNNNNNNNNNNNNNNNNNNNNNNNNNNNNNNNNNNNNNNNNNNNNNNNNNNNNNNNNNNNNNNNNNNNNNNNNNNNNNNNNNNNNNNNNNNNNNNNNNNNNNNNNNNNNNNNNNNNNNNNNNNNNNNNNNNNNNNNNNNNNNNNNNNNNNNNNNNNNNNNNNNNNNNNNNNNNNNNNNNNNNNNNNNNNNNNNNNNNNNNNNNNNNNNNNNNNNNNNNNNNNNNNNNNNNNNNNNNNNNNNNNNNNNNNNNNNNNNNNNNNNNNNNNNNNNNNNNNNNNNNNNNNNNNNNNNNNNNNNNNNNNNNNNNNNNNNNNNNNNNNNNNNNNNNNNNNNNNNNNNNNNNNNNNNNNNNNNNNNNNNNNNNNNNNNNNNNNNNNNNNNNNNNNNNNNNNNNNNNNNNNNNNNNNNNNNNNNNNCCACGUAACCUUAGCUUGUUGACAUUUCUAGAUCUGGCUUGAGCCUGCUUGGGGCGAGCUCUCUCUGGACAAUUCUGGCUUAAGCGAGUUUUCUGGCUUGAGCCAGAAAACUUCUGCACUUUGGUUGAUUCUUGGGUCCUGGCUUGUAUUUUCCUGCACAAAAAGGGUAGAGUAAGGCAUAUGAAGCAUAAAUGGUGUAAAUGCAUAAAAUUGGAGCUUUUCCAUAGAUAACUUGUAGAACAAGUCACUAAAAUGCCUAAAUUAACAUAAGAAAUAUAUCACUUUUGAGCACUUAUCACAAAGCUCCACUUUCGUUUUAUGAAUUGAUAUUUGAGAUGAUGGAUUAACAAUUAUCAAACCCUCCACUUUCGUUUCCACGGUUUGAUAAUGGUUAAUUCAUGUUAAAACGGUGAAUUUAGAUUAGAGAUUAGAGUUACAUAAGAUUAGGGUCAAUAUCUUGGUUUGAUUAGGAUUAUGUCAUUUAGACUUAUCCAAUAAUCCUAAUACAAGAGAAGUCUACUCACUCAUGUUCAUCGUAGACAUGAGAAGAAGGAGAAAAGUAUAAAAGUAAAUAACAAGAAAGAAAAGAAAAAGAAAAGAACUUUUAUUAAGAAAGACAAUUGUCACUUAUUGAAUUCCAAGAAUAAAAGAUGACUAUUUGUGAUGGGUAGCUACUCUAUUUAUAGUUUACAUUCGACUUAGAAUCUAAGCAAUUACAUCACUAAAAUGUUCCACAAGAAAACUAAAAUAGAGUAGCUUAAAAUCUAAACAAAAGCAACAAAAGGUUAUUCUGGGAGGUGGCACGGCCAUGCCAAUGUUAGCACGGGCCGUGCCAAGCUUCUGACUUGGGGGAGACAUAUUUUUGCUCCGAAUCAACUCCAAAACCCUUUUCUUUUGCUCCAAGACUCAAUCCAUCAAAUAUUCAUUCCUGAAAUAUAAUAAUAUGCAAUUGAAGUAAAAUAGCUCUAAAAGGAAAUAAUAUUAAAAUAAAAUAAGCUUAAAUCUAAUUAAAACGAACCUAAAUAUUAUACUAAAACAGAUAAUAAAUGACUCAUCACUACCUAGGUAUUCCUGUAGGGGCGAAUCCAUGAAAGAUCAUACAAGGAAGUCGUUAUUUGACACAAUUUCAAGAAGGUUUGGCCCAUUAAGAAAUAGGUUUAUCAGUUUGGGGGGGGGGGGGGGGUUCUAAACUCUGUUCUUAAUGCGAUCCCCUCGGUUGCGAUGUUGUGUUGUGGUGUGGCAGCUGCUCCUGUCCGCUUUUUGAGGAGGUGUAUUUGUUUAGUUUUGCUUGUUUCUUGCUUUAGGGUUUUUGAGGGCGAUUGUAGUUUGGUGUUUUUGUUUCCUUUAUUUUAGUACCCUUGGUACACCGAGCUAGGCAUUUGUUAGCCCUCUCGUGUUAUGCUUUUUAUUACUCUUUCUCUCUACUAUGUGGGACUUGCUCCGUCUUUUAUUUAUAUAUUACUGGCGAAAAGACGGGCAUAGUGCCCAUCUUUCCCUUGGCACACCAUGCAAAUAGUUUGAAAAAAUAAUAGUUAAUGAUAUGAUAUUGUGUCAAAACUUUGGAUUAUCCCAACAGAGUUAACUAAAACAUAAUAGUUAAUGAUAUGAUAUGAUAUUUAACAUAUUUAGUAACCAUCCAAUUAUUACACCUUUGUUCUUGUUUAUCCCAACAGAGUUAACUAAAAUUCUAUUUAACAUUUAUGCUUAUAAUUGGAUAAAAAUUAUAUCUAAAAUUGAUUGUUAGAGAUUGGCUACGAAUUAGAUACUAAAAUUACACCUUUGUUCUUGUUCCUUUAGUUUCUGUUUUCAUAAUUAAAUAUUGUUUCAGACUUUGUUGUUCUUUUCUGGUACGCCUUGUGUUGGAAGGACAUUUUUGAUUUGGUAAUAUAAUUCAUUUUAGCCUUUUCAAAAAAAAUAAAAAAUGAUACUAAAAAAGUAACCAUUUUUAAUUGUUACUAAUAAGACUCUUAAGGUUACUAAAACCAUUGGAUAUAUAACAACACAAACUUUACCUAACAUUUAUCAAAUAAUGUUACAAAAUCUAAAUAGUAAAAUUUGUUUUUUAUUUAUUUAGUUACAAUUUUAAACUGUUACUAAAUCGUAGUGAUUUCAGCUACCAUUUUAUGUGUGACUUGAUUUUGAGCAUUAAACUAGAAUGUGCUUGUUAGUUUGUUCUCCACUUUAGAAAGUACUAUCUGUUUACAUUAUCAGUUUGUUGAUGAUCUUCAAGAGAAUGACUUUUGCUUGUUUAGAAUGAUUCCAAAAGGCUCGCAUAUCCUCUAUACUUACAUAUAUCAACAUCAAGAACUAUCAUUUCAUUCUUACUUAUACAUAUUCUUUAUUAAUUAUAGAUAACAUAAUAAUCAUUGACAUAGUAAAUAUAUAGUUUACUGGAAAGGAAAGUAGAUGCCAAUAUCAUGUAUCAACCCACAAUACCUAACAAUACUAUAUACAUCAUUAACAUAGGAAAAACAUUUUCUACUAGAGAGGUUGCGCAGCUUGCAAGGUUAUAGGGCUAAUUGUAUUGGAAGAACAAGAAGGGUGCUUGCUUAGCCAGCAUAAGGGUGCUUGCUUAGCCAGCAUAGCAAUUUUUUUGAACUUCAACAACCACAAAAGACGAUAACAUACAUUAUAAGUCAUUUCCGAAUACCAUUUUUGUGACCCUUAGCAUUAAUCUACACUGGAACAAAUCCAAAUAAGCAUCUACACUACAUGCAUUGUUGAUAGUUGGCUUCAAAUUUGUGGUCUGGAAGAACAGAGAAAUCGUGACAUGAAUUUGGCAUCGUGACAUGAUUUUGUGAUGCCGUGAGCUGGUUUGCAGGGUGCCAAAUCGUGACACAAUCUUGGGAAAUCGUGACACGAUUUUGAAACUUGCUCGUUAAGUAUCCGUGAUAAGGACUGGUCAUACCUUGGGACGUACGCAAAUCGUGACACGAUCUGGAAAUCGUGACACGAUUGUAUCAGAGGAAGGCUAGUAUUUAAAGUGUUCUUGUGCAGAUUUGGAGGAGAGCUUGGAAGAGCUUAGAGAGAUAAACUUGGAUUACAAAGGAGGGAACCAAAGGGUUGAGUGUCUUUGUAGAGAGUGUCUCUUGGGUUGGGAAAAACAUUGUAAUCACCUUGGGUAGUGAGGAGUUCACCAUUGGAAGGAUCUAAAGCUUCCUCUAGUGUCUUCUCUUUUAGGGUUCAUAUUGUGAGAGUGGGGAAACACCAAAGGGUAGAAUCUAGGUCUUGUUUCUUGUGUAAGCUUGCAAGCUAUUGUUUCUUGUAACCCUUUGUAACACUUUCAUCAUAUUGGAUUGGAGAGCUGCUCUCUCCCCCAGAUUAGGCCAUAUUGGCUGAACUGGGUCAACAAUCUCUUUGGUGUGUUUGUUCUUUCUUUCUUGCUUAUAUUGUUUGCUUUGUAUUCUCUUUGUGGUGUUGCUCUACACUAGACUAGGGCUGGUUUUGUUGUUGUUGCUUGGGAAACUUUUUACUCUUUGAUUACCACUAUCUUUUGCUCCACACAUCUUUGUUUUCAUUGGUGUGAGUUUUAACCGGAUUCACAACAUGCAUGAUCAUUGAAACAUGCCAAAUAACACAAACCAAACAACUUUGUGUAUGUGCAAUGCUUUUUACAAGAUUAUCAACAUGAUUUCUUAGAGUAUAAUCAUUACGAAUGUUUCGGCGAGGAAAAAUGAAACAAGGGAUGAAGAAAUAUAAAGGAGCCACUUGCUGAUUAAGACACACCACAUGCGAGCCACAGGUCCCACCAUAGUAGAUCAGAUUGCUACUGCCCAAGACGCCUAGAGUAGGAGCUGGUGUGUGUCGUACACAUAUUGUUCCAAAAAAUUCGGGUUUUACACACCUAUAAAUAUAGAAGCCUUGCCUCACUUUAAGAAAAAAAAAACGUUCUAACGACGGGAAAAAGGUGAAAUCACACGAUUUUGGAAGGCUACCAACGACCAGAGGCAUCCUAGAGGCGAGGAUUUUUUUUUUUUUUGAACAAAUCAAAAUGGAAUAUAUUGCACAAAAGAGAAGUGAUUCACCCCGCACAAGGUGUACUAAAAGCGAUGAAUCACUCAAAGUCUGAUACAGUAACUAGGUGACGGGCACACACGCAUGACACAGUCAACUAAAAAAGAUAAAUAACAUUAGACAGCACCUAUACAAAGAAGUGGGUGCCUCCACCAAUCAUGAAAACCAUACGCCAUUGUUACAGAAUUUGACGAAAGCCAUAAAAAAGUAUCCAACUUCACCUUUUCGACAAUAUUGUAAGGAUCAAUUACCACAUUUUUGAAGAUACAGUUAUUUCUCUCCUUCCAUAUUGCCCAUACACAGGCAAGCCAAAUAACCUUAAGAUAAAAAUGAGAAGCUCGUGGCAUACCCGCCAAAUGAGUAAACUGAUAGUAGUGAUCCACAACCGAACCUGGAAGAACAUAAGAAAAACCAAUCCAUUGACAUAAUAAAUACCAAACUUUCCCAAACAAUUCGCAACCUAACACAAGAUGCUCCGCCGUCUCAAUGAAACCACGUCCUCCAACACACAAAGUGUCGUUAGCUUGAAGAACAUGUCGAAGCGCCAAGUUUGACCUUGUCGGAAUUCUAUCUUUCAAUAGACGCCAAGUGAAAAGAGAAACUUUUGUAGGAACCAAUUUGUGCCACACGUUUGUGUUUGUAACAACAGCCACCUGAUCCUCUAAAGAUGUUAGAAAGCGAUAAGUCCCACUAACCGAGUAGCCAUGAAUAGGAUCAAGCAACCAACGCUAGUGGUUCUGUAAAUUUUCCUGCAGAAUAACGUUAGUCAAUAAAUUCACACACUCCCUCACACUAUCCUCCUCCCAAGCCAACAACCGAUGUCGCCAUCUCCACCCACCUCCGCCUUCCUCCCACCCCAAUCCCGCCAUAUCCUCCACGGAACAUUCCUUAUGUAUUGACAAAUCAAAUAGGCGGUUGAAACGAAUGCGUAAAGGAAUUCCAUCCAGCCAAUUGUCAGUCCAAAAGAAAGUAUUACGACCACUACCUACCACCUACCUACAAUUAUCAUCAAACCCCGUUCCCACCCCUUCUCUAACGUGACACAUCAUCCUCCACCACCCUGAAGUACUUCUUCCCCCUCCCUGAAUUCGAGUAGCUAAUAUCCUUGGGUUAGGUCAUUUGGAUUACCCUCUCUGCAACUAUUUGAACGUAAUCAAUCGGUACUUUUGAAUAGAGUUACUCUAUUUGAUUUUAUUCGAUUAUGACUUGCUUAUUAAUGUGUUUUAUACGUUUAUAAAUGUUAGUUAAAUGAUCCAAUCACAUUGCCCAUUAACCCUAGCACUGAGAUUUGCACUAGUUAUUAAAUGUUCAAUUUGUAGUAGUUAUUUCUUUUGGUUUCAUUCAAUUUCAUGGCAUGGACCAACUCUCUGAAUACUAUACUAAUGCUGGCCGCAAGAUAGAUUUGUUAUUUCUAACGAUUAGCUUGAUUGAGUUAGGGUUUUAAAUCAAUUUUGGUUCUUUUGUUUUACAAAUCAAAACACGUGAUCUAUUGUUUCUUUCACUUGAACGCUUGAUUGAGUGUCAUUGUUUCCAUGUUUAAUUUUGUUAUUUUUGGUAACAGCACAGUACAUAUAAAAAAAGAGUAAAAUAAUAAAGGAAGCACCCCACCGUAUAAGGGGGUUAAUUAUUUAUUAUUAUUUUUUAAAUUAGGUAUCCUCUGCGUACAAUUGUGAAGACGAAUUCCUCAAAUCUUGGAUGUGUAUAAACUCAUUUAUUUGGUCCGUGUUUAAGUUUUUUUCUUCCGAUAUUAGAAACUAUAUAUUGAAUAGUCCGUAAAACAAAGAAAGCCACUAUUAACAAAAACCAACUCCUCAAAGAAUAAACAUCCGAAUGAUGCAUAGUGUAAUUAGAUUAAGAAUUUGUCAUUCAAAACAAUAGAGAAUUGAAAUGGUUAAUAAUGUGUCAUUAAAACCAAUAGAAAAUUGAAAUUAAAGAAAACUAGAAUAUUGUACCAAAAAAAAAAAAAAAAACUAAACUAACUUAAAUUUAGCAGUCCAAAAACAAAUGUGUAGAAAAUAAAGACAAUUACAAGAACUGAACAACUAUAUUCUAUCAUUAUCUGUGUUUCUCUUUCUCCUGGUGCAUUUUUAGUAGAGAUCUCUUCCCAAUUAAAGACGAGAAACCAUGAAAGUGUGAUGCACCAUAGGAUAGAAGUGAUAGCCGCAGCGGUACGCGAAACUACAAAGACUUCUAUAAUUGAUGUCACACUUGAUAGCAACAGAACGCAUAAGAUUGCAAAUAUAUUGUUGUUGUGGUCAUUGUUGUUGGAACGAUGUUGUAGUGUAACAAGUAGUAUCAUUUGAAAAACUAAAACAAAAACACAGAGUGAGAGCAACACUAUAGUGUCAUGUUGUGCAAUGAAUUUACCAGCGAAUGAUGACAUCUUUAGGGCUACGCAGAUAAUUAAAAGCAUGGAUAAUUGCCCUGCAUGCGGACACAAGUACUUGCAGAAAGCUCUCAUCUACGUUGUUCAUCAUGAACCUAUAAAUUAAUGAGAUAAUUAGAUACAUACAUUGAUUUUUGAGUUUUUGUUUUGUUGUGUAACCUAAAGAAAUUAAAAGACGCAGAAUAGUAAAUAUAUGAAGGUAAAUCAAAGGGAUUGAGUACCUUGGGUUAACUGGAUUAGAGGAUAUAUAUAUAUAUAUAUAUAUAUAUAUAUAUAUAUAUAUUGUCAGGUAGUCUAGUGGAUAGAAUUCACCUUAUAAGGUGAAUAAGUGGGGUUCGAACCCUGAUCCCUCCCUGCAUAUAAUAAUGUAUUAUCCUACCAAUGAGUUAGGCUCACGAGACACGGGAUAGAGGAUUUAUAUUCUUCCAUCUUAAUCACUUGAUAUGCUAUCACAAACAAUAACAAUGCAUGUAGAUAUGUUCAUGAGAUUUUUUUAUUUAUUUUUUGACAAAAAUAUAUAGGCAUGAGAUAUACAUAUAUGCAUCUAUAUAUAACCAGCGACACUCUUUAGAUAGUAAAUUUUUAUAGAAAUUUAUAUAUUCAAUGUAUUGAAAAUUGAAGUAUUAAACUUUUUUAAUGAAUAAUUUCUUAACUAUGAAUCCUUAAAGAGUACCCUAAAAGUACUAAAAGAGUAGAAUUAAAAUAAAAUAAAAAAGAUUAAAGAGAUCUAGUAUCUUGGAUUAAAUGGAGUAGAGGACUUCAAUUUUCCUUCCAUCGUAAUCAAUAAUCACUUGAUCUUCCCUUGUUUGGCAGCACUUGAGUCAAUUAGGUUAAUGACUAAUUAUUAUAGUAGGACUAUUUAAAAAGAUGUUCCCGCAAAGCCAUAACAAACUUAAGAAGACAAGUAUCGCAAAUUUGGUAUUCAUUAUUUAAUAAAAGUAAUUUUGACAUAAAAUAAUUUAGAGGAUUAUGAGCUCGUUUAUUAUUGUUUUUUUAAGAUAAAAAUCACUUUUAAAAAAAAAAAAAAAAUCACUUUUAAGAGUUUUAAAUCCGUUUGUUAUAAAUUUUUUAAAAAAUUAGAAUCUAACAAAAAUUUUAAAAAAGCUUCAAAUGAGAAGCUGUUAAAAGCAGCGUCUAAAAAAAAAAUAAUUUAGAGGAUAGAGAAAAAAUGGUUUAAAAGAUUGAACUAAUUUUAUAACAAAAAAAAAUCUCUUUUAUGUAGUUAUGUCAAACAAACUAAAUUAUUUGUUUUAAAAAAGUGAUUUUUAUUACGGUUAAACAAACGCUACUUCUUAAGACGCCAAGAGUAGGAGUUGGUGCGUGUCGUGACAUCUUGUUGAUCCUAUUUUGAGACGUCUGAGUUGUAACAAUUUGAUAAUCUUAAACUUCUGCAAUCAACAAUUCAAAUGAAUAAUCAAACUUGUUCAUCAAUCAACUUUCGGAUAAACUUGAUAAUAUGCAUUCAAUAAUAAAGGAGAAUUACAGUAUUUUAAAGUUAAACUAAAUCUUGCACAACUAAUUGUCUCCGUGAACUUAGCUCAGCUAGUAAAGACAAUGCAUAAUAUAUGCAAUCCGGGGUUCAAACCCUGGAUACCAUAAAAUAAAAUAAAAAACAGAUUAGAGGAAACUUUUUUUUAAUGAAUGCUGUAGAACGCAAAUAUUUUUCCUGCACAUAAUCAAUCCCCGAACUCGAAAUCAGGUUUCAAGAACCAUAUUUUUUUUAAAGGGUUUUUUCCCAAUGUUUUUCCUAUUUUAAUAAGUUUUGGUGACGACUUUAUUGUUUUACGAGCAACCCUCGAUUUGUUUUCAAGAAUUUCAAACCUGAAAUUUAAUGCGAGCGACCAUUUUUUUUUUCAUUUUAAAGGAUUUUUUCAAUGUUUUCACUAUUUUCAUAAUUUUUUGUGGUAACUUCAUUAUUUCCGAGCAACCGGUGCAUGCUUUGCAACCCUCAAAUUUUAAGUCACAACGUAGUAAAGUAAAAUAUUAAAACAUAUUACUUAUAUAAUCUAAUAUAAUGAAAUGAAAUAUAGUUUUGCAUGAAGAGUUUGAGGAAGGAAAGCUUGUGAAUCAUGCCAUUUUGGCCGACAUGGUAAGCAUUGAUGCAGUCUACAAUUAUCUUCUAACCUUUUUGAAAAUGUGAAUGUCCUUUCUUAGAAGGAAAUUAGUGGAUGAAUGGUUGGAUUCUUUACAAUAUUGUAUACUUGUUGUAGAUGGAAUAACUUCCGAGGUGACUGGUUAGAUGUUUUACAAGAUUAUGUGCAAAAUAUUGAUAUUACACUCUAUAAGUCCAAGCUUAAAAGCUUAACAAUAAAAUUUGGUACCAAACAAAAUCGUCUCUUGUACCAAGAAAGCUAUGAUACAACUUAUCAACCUUGCUUAAAAUGAAACACUACUUGACAAUACAAAAAAGGAGAUCCUCAAUUCGAGUAAGCGCGAGGGCAAUUCAAAGCAAAUUAUCAACUUUUCAAAAGAGGAUGUAUGAGUGGUAGUAUAGGGCGGAUGAGUAGUAGUAGCUCAUGAGUCAUUUUGUUCAAAGACUGUAUGGAUAAUAGUUGAGGAGUUCUUUAGUAUCUAAUAGUGUAUGGUUUGUUUGGUUAAUCAAACAAAUCAUACAAUAUUCGGUACCUCCUGAACUUCGAAAUUCAUAUUCAUGUAGUCGUGGAGUGAGAAAGCUCAUAAACUAUCAUAUAGGUUCCCUCUUCAACUAAUCUUAUGCCCUAUUUUACGAAAUUGAUAAUUUCCUUUAAAAUGAACUGUAGCGUGAUCCAUUGGAGCGAUCUCUUUUUUUUAUUGUCAAAUAACAUUUUAUUUUCAGCAAAAUGGACAAAUUUUACCACAACUUUAUUGUUACAUGAAAGAUGUUUGUUUGGUACCCUCAUUCUAUCGUUAAACCUUUUGGGCUUGGAGUUUUAGAGUAUUGUUAACAUUAUUUGGCACAAAGUCUUGUAAAUCAUUGACCAACUCAUCAAGGUAGCCAUGAUAUUUAUAGAAUCCAAGGUGUUAUGAUACGAGCAAAGCAAGAAUACCACAUAAGCAAAGUUACGUUGCCCUACUCUUUUAUUUUUUGAAAUUUUCAUAUUCUCGUACUUAUAUCAUACCAAAUACCGUACCCUAUAUCCAUACCUAUUCAACAUGAAUUGAAAGUUUUACCGGCAGUACAAUCAGGAAGAUACGUGUUUUGUUGGUUGUAAGAAUGUGGGAGACAAGGUGAAGAUUGUUGGGUUAAAUUGUCGACGAAUAGUUUUGCAUCUACUAUCAAUGACCUAAAUGAUAUUGUUUUUGGGCAUGAAUGUAUAUUUUCUACUAGUACUAUGUAACAACUAAGGUUUUAAAAUUUCAGUUUUAGUGAAAAAAUUUCAAAAUUGAAUUAAGACAUUAUAUUAAAAUAAGUGACAUGUUUUUACAUAAAGCAAAAGAAAAAAUAAACUUAAAUACAACUGAGAACCCUAAACUCUAGACUCUUGUAAUCAACUCUCAAGACAAAAACAAUUCUACUCGAAAAUAAGCAAACAUAUCAGAAUCAAUUCUACACCCCGCACUCAAUUUUAGUCCAUGUAAAAAUGGAACCAAAUAUACACAAUACUACUACGGGUCUGUUUGGUAACAUCCAAAAAAGAGCUUAUAACUUAUAAGUUCUUUUGACAAAAAAAGCUCUGUUUGGCAACACUUUUUCACCAUGAGCUUAUAGCUUAUUUCACGAGCUUAUAAGCUAUUUUUCAGAAGCUAUUCCAAGUAGCGUUUGAGCUUAUAACUUAUAGCUUCUCACUUUUAAUUCCAGUUUUACCCUUAUUAUUCUAACUAAAUUUCAUUUUUUACCUUUAAUCAUUUAUUAUAUUAUAAAGUAAAAUACAUAUGUUUUAAAUAUGAAUGCUAUUUUUUUUUAUGAAUGAAAGAUCCUUUUUUUUUCUCAAUAGAAAAAGAUAUUUUUUUUACCGUUACGUAAGUUUUUUUCAUUACAAUUGUUACGUUUUUUUUUGUGGGACUAUUUCAAUAUUUAAUGUCACCUUUUUUUUGCGAAAUGACACGUUAUUUUUGUGUGAUACAUCAAAAUUGUAGAGAAUAAGAACAAGGACAAUAAUUUUCUCCAUAGAAAAAAAAAUGAGAAUGUUACGUUUACCUUCACUAUAUAUAUAUAUUUGUACAAACUAUAUUUUAUUUAUUGUUACGUUUAAACUUUUUUACAUCUUAUAUAAUUUUUUUAGGCAAAUGAAUAUAAAUAUAAAUUAACAUUUAGGAAUUAAAAAUUAAUUUAAUAAUAAUAUUAAAUUAACAAUUUUUAAUUUUUAAAUUCUUUAAAAUUAAUUGGUAUAAACUUUGAAUUAAAAAUGUCAUUUCAUGUAAUUUUACAUCUAUCAGUUAAUUGAACUGCUAAUUUUAUCAAACACUUCAAGUAGUUCAUCAGCUAUAAGCUAUCAGCUAGCUUAUCAAUCAUCCACUAUUUUUACCAAAGAGAGCCUACAUAAGCACAAUGACUCCUACAGUCCAUCUCUGCAUCACUUAGGGCCACUCCUUUCACCCAGAAGAUCAAGCCUCUUCACCUCAUCAUUUGCCACUUUAAUACGCUGUUCCAUAUUCUGACAAUGUGAUCUAUGUCAUUCCUUCAUGUCAUGUUUAAUGAGCUUUAGGUUUUCUUUUCACAUAAAAUUCAUAUGCAAAGAUUUGUCAAACCCCUUUAUAAAAGCAUCUUGUCACAUAUUUGUCCAUAAUGGAAAAUAUCAAAAUAUAUUUUUGUAUUUUGUAUGACUUAUGCAAUCAUAAAUCUCUUCUAGCAACAACAACAUUAUCUUCUUUCCACUCUUAUUUUUCAACAUUAUUAGAUGCUAGUCACAAACCAAACAUAAACUUCCAAAAACAGUUAUAAUUUAUGCAUAGUACUAUUACUAAUAUAUUCACAUGCAUAACUGUAUAAUAUAUUUCACAUGUCAUGCUAAGAAGUUCCUACGUGUCUUGCAUAUAAGAAUUGUCAGAUAUCAUACUCUAGAGUAUGUGGUUCCUCUAUCUAUCCCGUGAUCAAACAGUGAUUCAAAUUCAAUUAUUCUUAUGCAUCCACAUCAACUAGGAACAAACUUCCAAAAUAUACUUGGUAAACUUUUUGGAUUUUUCCUGAAAAAUAAAACUACUUUUAAAUACUUAUCUAUCUAGUAGGUAUGCUUGUGUUUUUCUAUUAUUACAUUUUCAAUUUUUGAGAUACAUUAUAAAAUAUGGAUACUCAUUGGAUUAGGACUAUACCGGUACAUGUCGUUGUCUGUGUUUGUGUCCGUGCUUUAUAGGUGAUACAUAGUUGAAUAGUAAAAUCUUUUUUUUUUUACAAAAGUUGAAUAGUAUAAUCAUAUAAGAUUAUGAAAUUGUAAUAUAUUGUUGAAUAGUAAAAUAAUAUAACAUUUUGUAAUACAUUGUUUAAGAAAACAAACCUGAAACCACAUUUUUUAAUUAGUUAAAGAUUAUAGGUAUUAGCAUGAUUGCACAAAAUAGUCUUUCUUAUUUAGGUAUUUACACAAACCCUAAUUUAAUUUGAUUGUCUUUAUCAUAGACAGCUAAAGGAAACUAGUCUACAAAAUCUUAUUAUUUAGAUUGUUUUCAUAGACAGCUAGAAGAAACAAAGAGCAGUAAAAAGAUAGAGGACUAGAUUCUAUUUUUGUUUUCAACAAGUUUCUUGCACGAUAGUUAACCCUAUUUGAGGCAUUGUGUUACACUAAAUGUGAAAUUUCGUUUGUGUGCACUCAAAACAUAUCAUGUAAUUACACACUCGGUACAUUCCUGGUUCUUCGAUUAAAAUCGGACAAGUCAAAUUUCAACCUCAAUAUUAUAGAUUUUAAAAUGUAUUCAAAACCUGCAACGUCCGAUCUUAAUUCAACAACUAUCGAUGUGUCAACUGUGUUAAUGCACGAGAUUUUGACUGCAUGCAAUCCAAAUCCCUAAAUGUGGAUAACUCUCUCCCUCGGAAUUCAAAUUUUAGUUCGCCACAUUAUGGGUUACUACCUAUUCGCUAGACCCAAUAUCGGUUAGUGGAAUAGUUCAUAUUCAAACAAUGGGUAUUACUAAGUAAAGUAGAACAAGUAACCAUUUUACGGUCGUUUCUGAAGAGAUUUGAACUCAAGUUAGUUGAAGUUAAAAGAUCAAACUCUUAUUACUGAUGUGACAUAUGAUUGAGAAAUAGUGUCUUAAAUAUAUUUAUAUAGACCUUCAUUAUUUAUUUAAAAGCACAAUACAAAUUUGCAUUCCCUUCACAAGAAGACAUUAUUUCUGAAAACUCAAACCUCAUCACAAUGUCUUGGUUCCUUACAAUUCUGUUUCUCAGUCUCACAUUUGGUACUAAUUUUUCAGAAGCAAACCAUGACAACAAGAAGCUUCUUCCUUCACCUGUUGUAGUUGGCACUGUCUACUGUGACACAUGUUUUCAACAAGCUUUCUCUCUAAACAGCCACUUCAUUUCAGGUAAUCCAUUUCAACCUCAAAAGGGUACUUCAAUUUUAUAUCUCUUAAAAUGUUGUAAAAUUUUUCUAAACCUUAUCAUAUUUUAUUUUGUCCUUGUUUUUAUGUAUAGGUGCAUCAAUAGCUGUUGAAUGCAAAAUAGGAAAAACAAAACCAAGAUUCUAUAAAGAAGUGAAAACAAAUGAACAUGGAGAAUUCAAAGUGAAACUACCUUUCUUAGUGAAGAAACAUGUGAAGAGAAUCAAAGGGUGUAAUUUUAAGUUGUUAAGUAGUAAUGAACCAAAUUGUGCUAUAGCCUCAACUUCUACUUCAUCUUCACUAAGCCUAAAGAAAAAGUUGCAACAAGAACACAUUUUUUCAGCUGGGAUUUUCUCAUUCAAGCCUAUAAAAAAACCAAAAUUUUGUGACAAAAAACAUAGUAUUCAUAACCUUAAGAAACAACAUAGUUAUGUGAAAAAUUUGGAACAAUCAAAAUUUUCAAGCAAAAAUAAAGUACCUAAUGAAGUUGAAGAUUUCUUCUUUUUUCCUCCAAACCCUUUUUUUCCACCACCUAUUAUCCCUAAUCCACUUCAACCUCCACCUUUGAUUCCUAACCCUUUGCAACCACCACCUUUGAUUCCAAAUCCAUUUCAACCACCAAGUCCACCCUUGAUUCCUAAUCCAUUUCAACCACCAAGUCCACCACUUAUUCCAAAUCCAUUUCAACCUCCUCCAUCAAAUCCACCACUUAUUCCUAAUCCAUUUCAACCUCCCCCAGCAAGUCCUCCACCACUCAUUCCAAAUCCAUUUCAGCCUCCACCAUCAAGUCCACCACCAUCAUUUCCUUUUCCACCAAUAGUAAUACCAGGUUUAACUCCAUCACCACCGCCGC
rnacentral:lncRNA from 1 species